rnacentral:rRNA from 1 species
GACGAACGCUGGCGGCGUGCUUAACACAUGCAAGUCGAACGGGAACCUUUAUUUCGGUAAAGGUGAGAGUGGCAAACGGGUGAGUAACACGUAGGCAACCUGCCGACAGGAUGGGGACAACAUUCCGAAAGGAAUGCUAAUACCGAAUGGAGUCCGGGGAUGGCAUCAUCUCCGGAUAAAAGAUGGCCUCUGAAUAUGCUAUCGCCUGUCGAUGGGCCUGCGUCUGAUUAGCCAGUUGGCGGGGUAACGGCCCACCAAAGCGACGAUCAGUAGCCGGUCUGAGAGGAUGAACGGCCACAUUGGGACUGAGACACGGCCCAGACUCCUACGGGAGGCAGCAGUGGGGAAUCUUCCACAAUGGGCGAAAGCCUGAUGGAGCAACGCCGCGUGAGUGAAGAAGGUCUUCGGAUCGUAAAGCUCUGUGCACGGGACGAAACCGAGCUGAGAAAUAUGAGUUGGGUGCGGUACCGAG